GAGUUUGAUCCUGGCUCAGGAUGAACGCUAGCGACAGGCUUAACACAUGCAAGUCGAGGGGCAGCACGGGAGUAGCAAUACAACUGGUGGCGACCGGCGCACGGGUGAGUAACGCGUAUGCAACCUACCUAUCAGAGGGGAAUAACCCGGCGAAAGUCGGACUAAUACCGCAUAAAACAGGGGCACCGCAUGGUGAUAUUUGUUAAAGAAAUUCGCUGAUAGAUGGGCAUGCGUUCCAUUAGGUAGUUGGUGAGGUAACGGCUCACCAAGCCGACGAUGGAUAGGGGAACUGAGAGGUUGGUCCCCCACACUGGUACUGAGACACGGACCAGACUCCUACGGGAGGCAGCAGUGAGGAAUAUUGGUCAAUGGGCGGGAGCCUGAACCAGCCAAGUCGCGUGAAGGAAGAAGGAUCUAUGGUUCGUAAACUUCUUUUGCAGGGGAAUAAAGUGCAGGACGUGUCCUGUUUUGUAUGUACCCUGAGAAUAAGGAUCGGCUAACUCCGUGCCAGCAGCCGCGGUAAUACGGAGGAUCCGAGCGUUAUCCGGAUUUAUUGGGUUUAAAGGGUGCGUAGGUGGUUUGAUAAGUCAGCGGUGAAAGUUUGCAGCUUAACUGUAAAAAUGCCGUUGAAACUGUCGGACUUGAGUGUAAAUGAGGUAGGCGGAAUGCGUGGUGUAGCGGUGAAAUGCAUAGAUAUCGCGCAGAACUCCGAUUGCGAAGGCAGCUUACUAAGCUACAACUGACACUGAAGCACGAAAGCGUGGGGAUCAAACAGGAUUAGAUACCCUGGUAGUCCACGCAGUAAACGAUGAUUACUAGCUGUUUGCGAUACACAGUAAGCGGCACAGCGAAAGCGUUAAGUAAUCCACCUGGGGAGUACGCCCGGCAACG
rnacentral:rRNA from 1 species